rnacentral:tRNA from 1 species
GGCUCAAUGGAUCAGUGGCAGAGCGACUGUCUAGUAAACAGGAGAUCGCGGGUUCCAUCCCCUAUGGAGCCU